rnacentral:tRNA from 1 species
GCCGCCGUCGCAUAGUGGUAUUGCACCGGCUUGCUAAGCCGGGCCCUCCGGGGCUCGUGGGUUCGAUUCCCUCCGGCGGCG